rnacentral:rRNA from 1 species
CCUACGGGUGGCAGCAGUGGGGAAUAUUGGGCAAUGGGCGCAAGCCUGACCCAGCAACGCCGCGUGAAGGAAGAAGGCUCUCGGGUUGUAACCUUCUUUUAUCAGGGACGAAGCAAGUGACGGUACCUGAUGAAUAAGCCAUGGCUAACUACGUGCCAGCAGCCGCGGUAAUACGUAGGUGGCAAGCGUUAUCCGGAUUUACUGGGCGUAAAGGGCGCGUAGGUGGGAAAGCAAGUCAGAUGUGAAAACCAUGGGCUCAACCUGUGCCCUGCAUUUGAAACUGUUUGUCUUGAGUACUGGAGAGGCAGACGGAAUUCCUAGUGUAGCGGUGGAAUGCGUAGAUAUUAGGAGGAACACCAGUGGCGAAGGCGGUCUGCUAGACAGCAACUGACGCUGAGGCGCGAAAGCGUGGGGAGCAAACAGGAUUAGAUACCCGUGUAGUC